UACGUAGGGACCAAGCGUUGUUCGGAUUCAUUGGGCGUAAAGGGUGCGUAGGCGGCGUGGUAAGUCGGGUGUGAAAUCUCGGAGCUUAACUCCGAAACUGCAUUCGAUACUGCCGUGCUUGAGGACUGGAGAGGAGACUGGAAUUUACGGUGUAGCGGUGAAAUGCGUAGAUAUCGUAAGGAAGACCAGUGGCGAAGGCGGGUCUCUGGACAGUUCCUGACGCUGAGGCACGAAGGCCAGGGGAGCAAACGGG
rnacentral:rRNA from 1 species